ACAUUGGCCCUGAUUAAAGAAGAGUGCAAAAUGUGCUAGCUCAACAGCAUGAUCAAUGUCAGCAUCCUCACAUAUAAUGAAAGGUGAUUUCCCUCCUAGUUCAAGGGUAACUGGUUUCAGAUUGCUUUUGGCAGCCAGUUGAAGAACUGUUUGUCCAGUUUCCGUUGAUCCAGUGAAAGCAAGCUUGUCUACAUCCAUAUGACUAGCCAGUGCAGCACCAGCGGUAGGUCCAAAACCAG
rnacentral:misc_RNA from 1 species